CCUGAGUUGGUGCUAACGUCCACCACUCCGAGAUGCUUCUAAUGCCUGAUGAGUUGAUACUGGAGCUUGGACCAUACAUUGAGGAGCUGAAGAAAACAGAAGGUGCUAUUUCUGAAUUUGGAAAUCCGAAGUUUAGAGAAUAUUGGUUGCUCGACUUGGCCAAAACGACGACGGCGGCGAGGUCUGAGUGGUGGUGCCCUUUGUCUUGGCUCCCUCUUCCAGCUUCCCAGCUGCCUGCUACCGGUUACUGAGAGAUAGAUGGCGGUGGUCGCCCAUGCUCUAAAGCUGCUGCCGUAGAAGCAGUUCAUCGAUCGAGGUGACCGAAAAGAUCUGCGAUGCAUCCCAGGAAGCGAAGGUCAUGUUCAUCGAGGAAAUUUCAGCAGGGAAAUUGGAAAUGAUGUUGAUCAUCUUACCAAGGAGAUCCUGCUGAGUCCAACCUCAGUAAUCAUAUGAUUUUAGAGGAUCCUUGUGUUUCUACGCAGCGUUUGUGUUCACUAAAAUGAAGAAACCUGUUGCUGCCAUCAACGAUGCCAAUGCUUCUGUAAAGACCACGAUGCAAGCCACAGUUGGCUGUCAUCCAGCACACACUGAAAGGAGCACCAUGAAACAUACAGACGAAGGAGUACGUUGCUGCUGCUUGACGCCAGCGAGGAGCCCCGUGCCGUUUGUGAGGUCGUGGAAGGCCCACACAACACCUCGGUUCUGUCUUGGCCGUCUCCUCAGACGUGGUAGCCGGAAACAAUGUUGCACCCACUGUGCUGCCAUAGCCGGUGAGACACCUCUCGCUUUCUCUCUCUCCCGGAAUUGUGCAGGGCGCUGCCCUGAGUAUUAAUCUUUUCCGAUACACUACUUUAUGGUUGAGUCCACGAACUGUCAUUUGUAGGUUGAUGAGGCACUGUAGGUAGACAAUUAGCAUGGUGCACUUAACAUUAUACGGUGGGUUAUACAUAUUCUAUAAAAGUUAUCCAUGUAAAGUCAACUUUGUGUAUUAUUAGAAGUCACUUAUUUGGAUAAAUAACUACACCAGAUCAGAUCCUCCUUUUAGGAUCAUUUGACCUAAGUGAUGCAGUUUGCUUGUGCAAUAAUGCAUAUCACUCAACCCAUGGCGCUUAUGAUCUGGAGGAAUGAUGCAGGUUCCGCUUGGUUCUGGUGCAGGUGGAGGUGUUUCAUCUUGGCCUCGAGGAUGUCGUGGCCCUACCUUGGUUAAAACCUUGGUUCAACAGUGAAGGAGAAAUGGAUCCGCAGGGAGGUGGCUUGGAGAAAGGGAGCUAGACUAGCUGUGUGCUGUUUUAGGUUCUGGUCCGGCUGCACUAGGGAGAUUCUAGCCGAUUUUCCACUGUGAUGAAGCAAAUUAUUUUUUGGCUAGCUGUGUGUUUUUUCAUGUCUAGUCACUUAGCUAGCUGUCGUUUUUUGAUAUGAUGAUGGAAAAAAAACAGUGUUUGUAGCUCAACUCGAAGGAACACCCCAACCUUUAUCUCAUUAGUUGAUACAUUCUGGUUUGUUGUGGUGAAUGCAGAUAGUGGACGGAUGGACAGAUGAGACGCCAACGGAUCCUUGUUCUUGGACCUGCGGUGCUAGGUAGCCGGCUGGGACGUACGCAUCCCUGGAGGAUCGGCCGGCGAACAACGGCGGGUGGUGAGAGAGAAGGAAGGGGACAGAUGUACGCUGUUCUGCACUGAUGCAGCGGGGGCAGCAGCAACAGCGAGGGUAAAAUGUAGCCGCAGGGUGGUGGCCUGUAGAAAAGGAGCUAGACUAGCUGUGUGUUGGUUCAGGUUUUGGUCCGGCUGGAU